rnacentral:rRNA from 1 species
AUGGGAUUGACCUUUGAUUCUCUUGGAGAAGCUUACGACUACUACAAUCUGUAUUCGUGGGAGUGCGGCUUUGGAAUAAGGUAUGGGAAGAGUCGUACAAACGUCAAAGGAGCUAAAAGCAUGCAAGAGCUACUCUGCAACUGCGGGGGCAAACCAAAGAAAGUGAACUCCAGUUCGUCAAGAACAGAGUGCCCAGCCAUGAUUAGAUUGCUUAGAACUGAAGACGACGGGUGGUACAUAUGCGAAUAUAGAGUAUCUCACAACCAUGAGAUGUUGCACACAUGCGCACAGAAACUCCACUUCCCUUCACACAGGCACAUCGACAAAUACACCAGAGAGCUGGUAUCUCAGUUGCGUCAAAAUAACGUUAAUCUUAGCAAGGUUUACAGCAUAAUCGGCACAUUUUUCGGUCGUAUUGAGAACGUCCCUUUCACCAAGAGGUGCCUGCGGACGUUGUGUGCAAAAUUGAGCAGAGACCAGGCAGAUGAAGAUGUUAAGAAAACCAUGGAUUAUUUCGCAGAACUGAAGCAGCCUGACCCUGAAUUCACUUACACGGUGCGUGUAGACAGUGAAAGUAGAGUUCGGACACUCAUAUGGACAACUGGGAAGAGGAAAUUGCAGUACCACUACUUCGGUGAUGUUGUUACAUUUGACACUAUCUACAGGACAAAUCUUUACGACAUGCCAUUCGGACUUUUUGUUGGAGUGAAUAACCAUUUCCAGAGUGUGAUAUACGCUGGUGUGCUUAUGCGUGAUGAGAAGGUUGAGAGCUUCAACUGGGUAUUUUCGGAGUUUGUCAAGCUGAUGGGAGGGAAGAAACCUAUUACAAUUCUAACUGAUCAAGCAAGAGCUAUGGAGGUCGCUAUAGAGGAGGUUUAUCCUCAAGCAACACACCGUCGGUGCAAGUGGCACGUCUUAAAGAAAGCAAAAGAGUCUCUAGGUACUUUGUACAACAAACGCAGUGAAUUCAGGGAAGAGUUUCACAAGCUAAUACAGGAUAUGCUCACGGUGGAAGUGUUUGAAAAACAA